UCUGAGUGGGUAGGUGCAUGGUGGGGCUUGAGCCUAUGGCCUGGGCACACUCCCAGAUGAAGCCAAGGAUGCUGGUCCAUAGACCACACUUUGAGUAGCAGAACCCUAUUGGAGGCUGAGGAAAGCCGGCAAGCUCAUCGAGGGCACGGGCAGGAAGAAUGAAGACCGUGGGGGUGCUGUGCGUGCUGGGCAACUGGAGGACGUCACUGGGCAGAUGGUGGAAACGCUGAAGCUGGAACGAGCCCAGCCUCUGUGCUGUGCACACCAGGACCGUGACCCCCAGGCUCAGUUAGAAGGGUCUGACCUCAGUGAGCUUUGGGUCAAAAGAAACUUUCCAUUUCUCUGGUACGAGAGAGGGCAAGAAUUAGAGCAGCCUGCCAGCAUUCGUGGCAGAGAGCCCUGAAUGUCAGAUACUUCACUCAUGUGGGAGAUAUUUAGGGAGUGGCUACUACGUGUAACGGUCAUGCAUGAGACCCCUGUUUGCGGGGAAAUUACAUACCAGGUGGAAACAAGGGGCCAGAUCAAUAAGGAAAAAUAUAUUAGAUGGUAAUAAUGGCUAAGGAGAGAAAUGAAGCAAGAGGAGAUAGGAAAUGACAGGGAAGGAGAGUUAUAGUUUCGUACAAAGCCUCCCUGAGAAGGUGACACAGAGUAAAGACCUAAUGGGUCUUCAGGGCACAUCAGGGAGAAUAUCCCAGGGAGAAUAAACAGUAUGUGCAAAGGCCCAGUGGCAGGAAUGGGUCUGGAAUGUUCAAGGGGCAUCGAGAAGCCUGUGUAGCUAGAGCAGUAGGAGGUUAGCCCAGAGAGAGAGUGGGGAUCAUCCAUUUCCUAUAUGUACAUUAGGGGCAACACCACCUACCUAAUUUGGUAUCUGUUAGCAUUCAGUGAGACUAUGUGAAGCCUGAGCACAGUGCCUGGCACACAACUAGUCGCUCACAUGUUGUUGGCUAUUAAUUUUAUUAUUACAGUGUUCCCUACAGCUCUACAAAAUAUGACACCAUACUCUUCCCUGGCAUCUGCUGAAGAAGUUUGAACACAGUCCACAAGAAAGCUGUGGGCUCCAAGAGAUGCUUUGUCAGGGCUGGGGUGAGCCGGCCCUCCUCCUUUGGGGCUGGCUUCCUGCCUUCUCUUCUAGAAGCUGAGGCUGCUGUCCAGAAGUUGAGGGGUCCAGUUCUGAGGGGCCAGUUGAUAAACCUUGCAAUACAGGAGGCAAUGAGAACUAGAAAGCUGAAUUUUCGAGUCCUUUGAUCUUGACAGUGCCCGGAUUCCAGUGAAGGCAGCACCCUGUCUCCUUGCCCACACAAGGACAUGAGGUCCCCGCUGGUCUAUUCUGUCUUUAGCUCCACGACGUCCUGGGUCAGACAAUGUUGGAAUCACAGAGAUCAAUGGUCUUGUGCUGCAAAGUCUCCAAAUGCCACCUCCUCUGAGGAGCCCUCCAGGAUGCCUCUGGUAAGCGUUUUGGACACUGUCCUGUAUAGGGUUUUGUUACACCCAGACUGGGACUUCUCCAGGCCAGAAUCCCUGGGAAAUAGGAAAGGUGAAGGUGCUGAGAGACAUCUGCUCAGUGAAGGAUGAGUGACUGCACAGACUGGGACACUCAGCUGCCGUUUUCCAUGGGACAAAGUGUGGCCCCAGGAAGGGCCUAACAUGAGUUUGCUGCCUGGCACUCAGCUGCCUCUGACCCAUUGCAGGUUCAGCAUUCUCCUCUCAGCCUCUGAUGCCAGAAACGUGGGAGAGAGGUGGAGCGAGAAAGAGGGUUUAUGAUUUCUCUUUUAAUUUUUAUUUUAUGGUCUUUAUAUUCAUUUAUAUAUAUUUGCUAUCUAUUCUUUUCUAUAUAUAUUUAUUUUAAAUUUUAAUCUGAUUAUAUAUGUUUAUAUUGCAUAUAUUUAUACAUUUGUAUUUUGAUAAUAUACAUGAUCAAAUAUAUCAUGCAGGCUCGGGCAUAUUUAUGAAUGCAGAGAUGUGCACUAAUUUGGGGUGCAUGCUCAAGUAGUACGUCACUGCAGGGACCCCAAUCAAACCCUGCAUGUCUGGGGGCCGAGGAGCAGGGACUGUGCUCAAGCAUAUGCUGGGAGGUCGCACCCUGGGCUCGCUCUCCAGGUCUCCCCCAAGCGGCCUCUGCCCCCGGGCUGGCCAUGGACUUUCCAUCCUGAAGGCCACACUCAGCUGCCCCUUUGCCAGGAAGCCUGCCUCUCCCUUCUUGGCUCUCCCCCAGGAAGUGCUGGCAUUGCUCACCCUGCCCUGGGCUCUGGCCACCUGGAAGGGGCAGUGUCCGUGCUGGGGAAGGACGUCCCCAAGGGCAGGAUUGCAUCUCCUCACCUGUGGGCACCGCCCCUCUCACAGAGCCUGGCUGGCGGUGUCUGACCCGACCCCGGCCUCUGUCUGGAUCCACCUGAUCAUGCAUGGUUGUGUGGCCCGUGGGACGUGGGCCUACCUCCCACCCCCUGGCAGGCCUGAUGUGGCAGCCCCAGGGUUAGCCUCUGCUUUGGGAAGUCACCUUGAAAAUCUCUUCUCCAGGAAUU